AGAUGUGAGGACAAUCUGGCUGCGACAUCUGUCACCCAUUGACCACCAGGGUUGAUUCACUGGUUACACGGGUUUCCCCCUACUCCUUCACCAAUCCAUGUGCGUCCCUCCCGAAGCUGCAUGUUCCAUUGAAGAGGAUGACCUUUCCCCCAGAGAAGAGGACCAGUCUUCCACCAAGGGUAUAUAAGUAGCUCCCCUGCUAGAACUUAAAAAAAACACACAAAAAAACAACAACCAACACAAUAGCUAUCUGGUGUUAAUGAAUCAAAAUUAUUCCUUUUUUUGGUCAUAUUUGGCAAAUAUAUAUAUAUUUUGUGCC
rnacentral:snRNA from 1 species